GCUCCAGUGGUCUAGUGGUUAGAACAUCUGCCUCAGAUGUGGGAGGUCACAGGUUCGAACCCUGGCCGAGCC